rnacentral:tRNA from 1 species
GAGGGUAUAGCUCAGUGAUAGAGCACAUGCCUAGCACGCAGAAGCUCCUGGGCUCAAUCCCCAGCACCUCCA